UACGGAGGGAGCUAGCGUUGUUCGGAAUUACUGGGCGUAAAGCGCGCGUAGGCGGCUUUUUAAGUCAGAGGUGAAAGCCCGGGGCUCAACCCCGGAAUUGCCUUUGAAACUGGAAAGCUAGAAUCUUGGAGAGGUCAGUGGAAUUCCGAGUGUAGAGGUGAAAUUCGUAGAUAUUCGGAAGAACACCAGUGGCGAAGGCGACUGACUGGACAAGUAUUGACGCUGAGGUGCGAAAGCGUGGGGAGCAAACAGGAUUAGAUACCCUUGUAGUCCACGCCGUAAACGAUGAUAACUAGCUGUCCGGGUGCAUGGCACUUGGGUGGCGCAGCUAACGCAUUAAGUUAUCCGCCUGGGGAGUACGGUCGCAAGAUUAAA
rnacentral:rRNA from 1 species